UACGGAGGGGGCUAGCGUUGUUCGGAAUUACUGGGCGUAAAGCGCACGUAGGCGGCUUUGUAAGUUAGAGGUGAAAGCCCGGGGCCCAACUCCGGAAUUGCCUUUAAGACUGCAUCGCUAGAAUUGUGGAGAGGUAAGUGGCAUUCCGAGUGUAGAGGUGAAAUUCGUAGAUAUUCGGAAGAACACCAGUGGCGAAGGCGACUUACUGGACACAUAUUGACGCUGAGGUGCGAAAGCGUGGGGAGCAAACAGG
rnacentral:rRNA from 1 species